GUAACAAGGUUUCCGUAGGUGAACCUGCGGAAGGAUCAUUACCGAGUUCGUGCCCUUCGGGGUAGACCUCCCACCCUAUGUGUAUCUGUACGCUGUUGCUUUGGCGGGCCCGCCGUUCGCGGCUACCGGCUCAGGCUGGUACGUGCCCGCCAGAGGACCCCACAACCCUGAAUAUUAGUGUCGUCCGAGUCCUAUAAUAAUCGUUAAAACUUUCAACAACGGAUCUCUUGGUUCUGGCAUCGAUGAAGAACGCAGCGAAAUGCGAUAAGUAAUGUGAAUUGCAGAAUUCAGUGAAUCAUCGAAUCUUUGAACGCACAUUGCGCCCCCUGGCAUUCCGGGGGGCAUGCCUGUUCGAGCGUCAUUGCACCCCUCACGCUCCGCGUGGUGUUGGGCCCUUGCGGGCGACCGCAGGCCCUAAAGCAAGUGGCGGCGCCGUCGGGUCCCGAGCGUAGUAACUUCUGCCGCUACGGGUCCCCGCCGGCGCCUGCCAGCAACCCCCGAC
rnacentral:rRNA from 2 species